CUGUCCGGCUAUUGGGGUAACAUAUUUUUAUAAGUCCCUAAGUAACAUAUAUAAAAUUUAGCUUUUAUAGUAUAACGAAAGUAUAAUUAAAAUUUAUUAAAGUUUAGGGGUGUCUGGCAGGGGGUAACAACUGGAAAAAGUGUCCGGCAACGGAUAUCAUGAUUUCUAAAGAUAUUCUGGAGUAAAUAUUAAAAAAAAAACCUUUAUACUUUAACGAAUUUAAGGAUGAGAUUACUCAUUUACAAGUUACGAAUAACUCGACUGACGACCAAUCAACUAGUCGACCCACUGAACCAUGACACACGCUCGGUGGAACAUCAUUCAUUUAACAUUUAGCCCAAAAGUAUUAAUUGUUUUGGUGUUUAGUAAAUUUAAUUUCAAGAUAGUUCAAGCUCGCCAUCCACAACAUACAAGCCAUAGGGUCACUGCGACUGAUUGCCAAUAAAACUGUAAACACAAGAUGCGCUUUAUAACCCAAAAAAGACCGUCGUUCGUACAUGUACGUGAUGUGUUGUUUAAGUGCUUACUGCGAGGUUUUUAACGUUCUCGAUAGCGUAAAAGUUACCCCAAUUUUGUAUGCAGUUGGAACAGCGCCUAACGGCAACAUAGGCAAUUUUUGUUUUCCUACCUAAGCUGAUAGCCUUGAGAGGCUAUUUCAGCGUAACCGUGGCUAGUAGGUGAGCUCACGGGGCUCAAACCUGACGGCGAUGCUAACACGAACCCUAGCAAGAGCCGUGCUUCGCAGAAUCUACCACCGGAUCGGAAACGCGACCCACUGAGAAGAUCCGGCGAGAAACUCAGUGGGCUGUGUCUGAGAGUUAAUUUACUCGUCGAGCCCUUCGUCGCAAGCGACGGGUUCGACGAGAACGGUGACCGGUGCUUGAAGUACCUAAAAGCACCGUUAGUGGAUCAGGAGGAUCCGAGAUGACGUGUUUUGGGCGUCCGCAGGAUCGGGAAUGUAGUAACCGGCGGCCACGAUGAGAGGGUUCUCGUGUCGUGCCGCUUUAUCGAAGUGGCGCAUCGACACCGACUGCAAAUACUUACUAACGGACUCUAAGUCCAGGUCGUCAUGGAGGUCGACGUUCCUGACGAACCACGGGGCACCGACGGCUAUCCUGCAAAAACGGGAUUGAAUAAUCUGGAAGGAUUUUAAGUGAGUGCGGGCCGCGUGAGCGAACACUACACUUGCAUAGGUCAUGACGGGGCGUAUGCAAGUUUUGUAGAGUGUCACCUUAUUUCUAAGGGACAUUUUACUUCGCCUGCAUAUCAUCGGGUAGAGACGUCCUAAAAAGAAGGCGGCACGGUCGCGUACCGUCUUAAUAUGGGGGCGGAAUGUCAUCCUACUGUCGAGGGUGACGCCUAAGUAUUUGACCUUCGGGGCCCACGGUAUGGGCUGGUCGAACAUCGUGAUUGAGCGAAUGGCGGUGGCGGAGGUGUCGACGCGCCUAGUCGGGAGAGGGAUGCUCAACGUGGUGUUCGGAGGGCGACCCCUUUUGAAGAGCACCGCUGUGCUUUUCGUGGGGUUGAUAUCGAUGCGCCACUUCCGGAACCACUGUCCCAUGGUGGUAGCUGCGGUCUGAAGUCGUCGAUGAAGCAACGCCUUCUUCCUACACGAGUAGUAGAUGGCGGUGUCAUCGGCGAAGAGCGCCAGAUGGGUCUCCGGAGACCGGGGUAUAUCAUUGAUAUACAAACUAAAUAGUAACGGGGAGAGGGCGGAGCCUUGCGGGACUCCGGCUGUGACGUGACGGGGGCGCGAACGCGUUCCUUCGACUCGAUAUCGGAACGAACGGUUCGACAAGUAAGUAGUCUCGUAUGAUCAGCAUGAGUCUGUCUGGCAUGUUAUACAGUUUGUAUAUCAAACCGUUGUGCCAGACUUUGUCGAACGCCUUCGCUAUAUCGAAGAAGAGGGCUCCUGUCGGGAUGGAACAUAGGCAAACGAUCCCAUUCCAUACAAAUAUGAGCUAACUUUUACGCUAUCGAGAACGUUAAAAAACUCGCACUAAGCACACUAUAGUGUCGAACCUGCGGCAUUGGAUGUUUGGCGAUGCAAAGCGCAGCCAAUGACUGCAUUUCUAUGUUGCCUUUUAGAAGUAUAAUCCCAUUGCGAUUAUAUUUCAAUUGGGUCUAACUGACUGAUAUUAAAUUGGCUGGCCAUUCCAAAUGUUUUUAUUUGUUAUGAUUUUCUUAGCGGUGUUUAAUUGUAUUUUCUAAUAAAAAAAUAUUUUUUAUUGUGCACAAUAUAAUCUAGUUUAGAAUUAACAUUUUUACAUUUUAUAAAAUACAAAAUAAAAGUUUGUGACACGGU